AUGAACUCGGUAGGGAACUUGUCUAAGCAACCAAUGGUCAAUUUUCUCAUGAAGCAGUCUUUUUUUCUUACCAGUUAAAAUGUUUCCAGCUACAACAAAUACUCAGGUUUCAUUUCAUUGCUCAAUUUCAGAUCAUUUGUCGAGGUUGGAAUUGCUGCGGGAUCAAGCGAAGCCUCGUCAGGCCAUGCCCUCGUCUCAUUCCUCAGUUUAUAGAGUCCAUUCCAAGCAGGUACAAUAUACAUCCUCGGAACAAAUAAAUGUAUUUGGUUUUAUAAGAAAAAUUAGUUUGCAGUGCAUCAGUGAUCCUAUAUUCCUGCUUAUUGGAGUACAUACAUAUAUGAUUAUUGGCGUUCAUCUGUGAUCAGUUCCCUAGGUUUAGAUCCAUUGUGUUAUUUAGAAUUAGAAUGGUCAUUUAUUCAGGGGGCUUUGACCUGUUAGUAACCCGAGUCAAGUCAUGGCCUAAUUAACUGAAUGAAUGAUUUCAGACUCAAGAAAAUUGAAAAUAAUCUACGGAUCUUAUCUUAUGAAAAUAGUAUGGGAAAGAGCACAGGAAAAUAAUCUAUCUGAACUAUACCAGUUUGUAGCGUGGGAAUAUGUUAUACUCAGUUUUGAGGGUGUACCACGGUAACUAAUGAUUCACAGCUGCUUUCCUCCAGGGUGAACCCUCACUUUGCUGGUUGGCUUUCAGCCGUGGAUUAGCAACUGGUUCAUGUUCUGAAAUUUUUAUACUAACCAUCCUCAGUCUGUAGUAUUUGAAAUCAAUCUUUCAGUUUGUUCUGAAAUUUUUAUACUAACCAUCCUCAGUCUGUAGUAUUUGAAAUCAAUCUUUCAGUUUGUUCUGAAAUUUUAUGCAGAAUAUAACCAAUGCCAGUAUUUUGGAAUGAGCGCAGAAUUGAUCCGUCACUUCUGAAGAAACUCCGUUACUUAGCAGAAGCAGAGGCCACAACCUGGCAGCGGCUGGUCACUUCAGCGGUCUCCAAUUGCCUUUGAAUACGCCAAUGGUAAUUUCAAAAAUCUCCAAGUAGUCCACUAAUUUUAUUACUUACAUUUUUUUUCAUCUAAAGCAAAAUUGAAAACAUAUGUUUCCUUGUAAUUCUAAAUUUGACUGCACAUAUUUUGAUUUUUGAUGAGUACUGCUCGAUAGAUUCAAAACGGCCAUGAGUUUUUUUUUUGAGUUGAAGUGGCAAGAGCAUUGCCGAAUAUAUUAGACGAAUAGAGUUCACCCUGUUUAUAAGGAAAACCGGGCCCAAAAAACAUACAACUGCCCGGUUUGCUAAAGUGAAACCAGCGAAAACCUUACACAGAAGACACAAAAAGCCUGAGACAAGACAACUACGAACUGUCGGAGGCCGAGGGAUGAGCAAGACCGUAAGAUGAAAUCUCCAAGGAGGUGAAUAACGACAUAAGCCGCUGUCGACGUCCGUCCAAAAACUGGGCUGGUUUUCACCCAGGGGGGAGGGAGUCCACAAGGCAACACCUCCAGGGAGGAAACGGCACCCGUGGGCGUCGAUAUUGCCAAUCCUAGAACAGGCAGGGCAUGAGGUUUUUGGGAACUAGCAAUUAUUGAUUUUGAUUGUUGAUGAUGAAGAGUUCUGACUAUCUACAUGGGUUAGUUUCUUGUUCAACAAAUUCAGGAAAUAGUUUCAGCUCAUCAGAAGUUUGCAUCGAUGUCAUCCCUUCUAGCCAUCUUCUGUGCAUUUGCUUGGAACAUUUGGUUCUGCACUACCGUUGACUAUAAAAUACAGCUCAACAGAGCUUUAUUUUCUCACAUUUCUCAUAACAAGUUGGAUAUGGAAAACCAUCAACUCUGAAUAGGAGAUAGCGAGCUUUGGAAUGAUUCUGAGGUAGCUCCAUUUUUUAUCUUGUCUGAACUUUGGCUGUGAGCUCAAAUGAUUAAAUCAGUAUCUUUUUCAUUUUUUUCAGCCACUGAAUACUUUUUAAUAGUUUUCUAUUAUUCUAUGGAUAAUGCUUGUGUGCAUGCUUAUGAUGGAUUGCUAAUUGUUUUACACGUG
rnacentral:lncRNA from 1 species